AAAACAUGUCCUUUUGAUUAUAAUUUAAGGUCUGGCCUGCUCAAUGAGGUUUUAAAUAGCCGCGAUAACUUGAUCGUGCGAAGGUAGCAUAAUCAUUAGUUUUUUAAUUGAAAACUGGAAUGAAGGGUUGGACGAGAAUGGGGCUGUCUCAAGUUUAUUAAAUUGGAAUUUUAUUUCUAGGUUAAAAAGCCUAGAUUUAUCUUAAAGACGAGAAGACCCUAUAGAGUUUUAUAUUUUUAUAUAAUAAGUGUUUUUGGUAUUAAAUUUACUUUUUAGUUUAAAAGUAUUUAGUUGGGGUGAUUGAAUAAAUGAUUGAACUUCUUUUUUUUAUGCCACUGAUUUGUGAUUUGAUGAUCCACUAUUUGUGAUUAAAAGAUUAAAUUACCUUAGGGAUAACAGCGUAAUUCUUUUUGAGAGUUCUUAUCGAAAAUGGAGUUUGCGACCUCGAUGUUGGAUUAAAGUUAAUUUUUGGCGUAGAAGUUAGAAUAUUUGGUCUGUUCGACCAUUAAAACUUUACAUGA
rnacentral:rRNA from 1 species